rnacentral:rRNA from 1 species
GUAAGGAAUAUUGGUCAAUGGGCGCAAGCCUGAACCAGCCAUGCCGCGUGCAGGAAGACGGCCCUCCGGGUUGUAAACUGCUUUUGUACGGGAAUAAACCUCUCUACGUGUAGGGAGCUGAAUGUACCGUAAGAAUAAGGAUCGGCUAACUCCGUGCCAGCAGCCGCGGUAAUACGGAGGAUCCAAGCGUUAUCCGGAUUUAUUGGGUUUAAAGGGUGCGUAGGCGGCCUGUUAAGUCAGGGGUGAAAGACGGUGGCUCAACCAUCGCAGUGCCCUUGAUACUGAUGGGCUUGAAUAGACUAGAGGUAGGCGGAAUGUGACAAGUAGCGGUGAAAUGCAUAGAUAUGUCACAGAACACCGAUUGCGAAGGCAGCUUACUAUGGUCUGAUUGACGCUGAGGCACGAAAGCGUGGGGAUCGAACAGGAUUAGAUACCCUUGUAGUCC